ACACAGUCAGUAUUCGAGUGAACGCCUAUAUGAUGGCCGGAAGCCUCCAUUUCCUCCUCCUGUCACUCUGUGUUUUGUUGGAACCUGUGACAGAAAUCGGUGGUUUGCUUCUGAAACCAGUUCUGUCUGGACCCAGUGAGGCCUAUGUGAGAUCUGAAGUUCAGUUUGACUGUGCAGUUCCAGGCUGGUCUUCACCC